CCUACGGGUGGCAGCAGUGAGGAAUAUUGGUCAAUGGGCGCAAGCCUGAACCAGCCAAGUCGCGUGAGGGAAGACGGCCCUACGGGUUGUAAACCUCUUUUGCCGGGGAGCAAGCCUGAGCACGUGUGCCCAGGCGGAGAGUACCCGGAGGAAAAGCAUCGGCUAACUCCGUGCCAGCAGCCGCGGUAAUACGGAGGAUGCGAGCGUUAUCCGGAUUUAUUGGGUUUAAAGGGUGCGCAGGCGGCGAGUUAAGUCAGCGGUAAAAUUUCGGGGCUCAACCCCGACAAGCCGUUGAAACUGGCUUGCUAGAGUGGGCGAGAGGUAUGCGGAAUGCGUGGUGUAGCGGUGAAAUGCAUAGAUAUCACGCAGAACUCCGAUUGCGAAGGCAGCAUACCGGCGCCCAACUGACGCUCAGGCACGAAAGCGUGGGUAUCGAACAGGAUUAGAUACCCGUGUAGUC
rnacentral:rRNA from 1 species